rnacentral:rRNA from 1 species
UACGGAGGGGGCGAGCGUUGUUCGGAAUCACUGGGUGUAAAGGGUGCGUAGGCGGUCCGAUAAGUCAGACGUGAAAUCCCUCGGCUUAACCGGGGAACUGCGUCUGAUACUGGCUGGCUUGAAUCCGGGAGAGGGAUGUGGAAUUCCAGGUGUAGCGGUGAAAUGCGUAGAUAUCUGGAGGAACACCGGUGGCGAAGGCGGCAUCCUGGACCGGUAUUGACGCUGAGGAGCGAAAGCCAGGGGAGCAAACGGG